rnacentral:lncRNA from 1 species
UGAGGUCCACACUCCAGUCCAGUUGGUGGCGGUAAUGCACCUUAAAGUUGGUUGCCAACCGCCAUAUCAAGUCUAGAAGUCCCGCCUCCCAUCAGUUCAUUGGUUCUCACAAUGAACAUACUUCCCGUACUUCCUGUAAACAAAAGUCAACAUGGGUGCUUGAAAGAUGGAUGAGGAGAGAUGUAUCGUGGCAGUAGAGAAGUACUCACUUUCAUAUGAUGCGUCUUCAAAAUUCUACAUGGAUCCAACUAAAAAAAGAUGCGAUCUAGGGAGCGAUUGCAAAGACCAUGCACAUUUCAUGUUUCGUCAGUGGGUCGUGGCAGAUGGGUCGCUAUGGUCCUCCUCUCUAUGGCCUCACAGGUCUACAUAAUGCACUGCAAUACUGUCUCGAAUCCAAGACGAUAUAGAAUUUUGCAAAACCAGAUGGAAGUCCCUCCGUGACACUUUUUUUAAGGCACCUACAGAAGGCCCAACCCAGCGGUUCUGGGGGAACCAAUCAGAAAGAAUGGAAAUACAUAUAUUAUAUCAUUCUUGAUACCUUACAUCCAGCCAACAAGCUCAAGAGGCAACCUCAGCCUUGAAAAUGCUGAUUCGCCUCAGCCACAACCUGUGGAGAUGGAUGACACUGAGGACAACGUGGGUUCCCCGAGCCAUGACCCUGUGCUUCAGAUGCCUGAACAUCAGUCAAGACCAACCACUACAGACACGGCUCAAGACUGGCAUCCAAGAAAAAGAAAACAGAAGGUCAACCAUCAAGAUGUGGAUGAAGAGCUGCUUGCAUUUGUCAGGAAGCCAAUCCCUUCUGCUGCUACCUCAGAUGAUGUGGAUGAGGUAUUUGUGCACAGCCUUGUGUCAGGAAGAAACAAGGGCACUCUGAAAAUGCAACUACUAUCAUUGAUUGUAAACUAGGAUGACCAGCAUGCAACACCUCUGCCACCACUUCCACCACCACAAUGGCUCUUUGAUGCUCUGCAUGGAAGAGUUGGACUGCAGCCUAUGAUGUACGGCCAGCCCAGGCAUCAAUACUCCUACUCACCAGGAUCUAUCUAACACAUAACUAGGAUGACCAGCAGGCAACACCACUGCCACCACCACGGCCUGCAAGUACUCCGCACGGAAAAGGUGGACUGCAGCCAAUCAUGUACGAUGAGCCCAGUGAUCAAUACUCACCAGAACUUAGGUCUCCAACACAUAGCUGGGAUGACAGCUUCAGUACAUUUUCUUAAGAGAGCUGGGUCCAAGAAUCCCAGUCACAUUGAUAAUCCCCUCCUAAAAAGACACAUCCCAUGUUCUGUUUUAGAGUUUUAAAAAGGGAAAGGUUUAUGUAUGCACUAUUUGCACUUCUUUGUUGUUGCAGUUAUAUUUGCAUUGCACCUUGUAUUUAACAUUUUUUUAAUCAUUUUUUGCUAUUCAGUGAAUAUUGUAAUUGGGAAGGAUAUGCCAUUUUUUGUUUACAUGCCUUGCUGUGGCUGUUCAUCUCACCUACAACAGGUGCACCAUGCCUUGUUGUGACUGUUAAUGUCACCUUGAAUAGUUAUAAGUAAAAUGCUA